rnacentral:rRNA from 1 species
AUUGAACGCUGGCGGCAUGCCUUACACAUGCCAGUCGAACGGUAACGGGCCUUCGGGUGCCGACGAGUGGCGAACGGGUGAGUAAUACAUCGGAACGUGCCCGAUCGUGGGGGAUAACGAGGCGAAAGCUUUGCUAAUACCGCAUACGAUCUACGGAUGAAAGCAGGGGACCGCAAGGCCUUGCGCGGACGGAGCGGCCGAUGGCAGAUUAGGUAGUUGGUGUGAUAAAAGCUUACCAAGCCGACGAUCUGUAGCUGGUCUGAGAGGAUGAUCAGCCACACUGGGACUGAGACACGGCCCAGACUCCUACGGGAGGCAGCAGUGGGGAAUUUUGGACAAUGGGCGCAAGCCUGAUCCAGCCAUGCCGCGUGCAGGAUGAAGGCCUUCGGGUUGUAAACUGCUUUUGUACGGAACGAAAAGCCUUCUUUUAAUACAGGAGGGUCAUGACGGUACCGUAAGAAUAAGCACCGGCUAACUACGUG